GGAGAUGGAUGCGUCACUGGUGGGCGUCCCGGACUUCAAAUCCGCGUGUGUGGCACUAACACUGUCAUAGGUGAGUUCGAUUCUCACGCAUCUCCGCCA
rnacentral:tRNA from 1 species